UAUAUAUAUUAGAUAUAUACUCGAGAUAUGUAUUAGACAUAUAUAUACUCGAGAUACAUGCUCUGUAUUUAGUUUAAAAGUAAAUGCUCGAGAUCAAAUACCGAUCUAUACAUUUAAAGUCCCUUUUCUAUCUUGUUCACUUAUCCAAUCUUAUACUUAUCAAACAUUUACGCAGUUUUAAUCACUAUGCAGUUUUGCCAAUAAGAACACAGGAUAUUGAAGGGGAAAGAGUGGACAUUUUAGUUCCGCUUUUGGCCCAAGAAUAACAGCCGUUUGUAUGCAUUAGAGGGUGUCGCUCCUUGUAUACAGAAUAUAUGCAACUGCAAGUUGGAGACACAGAAUGUUUAUUAGUGCAACUGAUGCUGCCUGAAUCGGUCGGUUGGUGCUGCACAGGUCAUAAGGACAAUGGGGUCACUGUGAUAGUUGCUUCAAAUGGAGGACGUUGCCUGCCGAUGUUCUUCUCCCUUCGAAAUGGACAUGUUCUGAUAAUGUUUGGAAUAAAGAGAGGUGAUGGAUUACAAUUCAACCAUUACAAAUUCAUCUCAUGAUUGCUUCAAUAGAAAUUGAGGCUUGGUUUUUGGUGAAUAUCUGGCUAAGCGGUCUUAUUCCUAUGGUGAAAGAGGUCAAUGAUGAAGAACCCUUCUUCCCUGCUCUACCGCUCCUCAGUCUGAAGCCAGCAAACAAAGUCAGUCAAACUUUAUAAUCCAGGUCAUAAAUGAAGAGGACUUGUCAACAGCGGAACAACUUCCAUAGUACAAAUGGUUUGCAGAAACCUGUACAGAAUGAAGCUUUGACUAAUGGGAAUCAAAAACCAUUGAUCCAAGAAAGAAUAAGCCUUGAAUAUAGGAUCUAAAAACAAGAGGUUGCUGAUGCAUAAUGAAGAUUCCAUGGAGCUGAAGGUCACGUGGGAAGAAGCACAUGAGUUGCUCCGCCUGUCCCCUACUUCUAACCCAACUAUCUCCAAGAUCGAAAAUUGCGAAUUUGAAGAAUAUGAUGAGCACCAAGUUUUUGGCAAAAAGACCAUAUUCACAAUGCAAGCAUCUGGGUCACAAGAACAAUGGGGUCAGUGUGAUAGUUGCUCCAAAUGGAGAAGGUUACCUGACGAUGUUCUUCUCCCUUCGAAAUGGACAUGCUCUGAUAAUGUUUGAGAUAAAGAGAGGAAGCCAAGAUAAUGGGCAUCAGUGUUCUGUGUCUGCCCGACCUGGUGUAUCCUCUACUAAGACACUGUCUUGCCCUUCCUGACCUGAUCAUUUUGCCACCUUUAUCAAAGUUUGUUCACCUCUAUGCUAUCUGAAUUACUGGAAAUCGUAGCGGUCAUCUUAAUGAUCAAAUUCUGUGAAAUUCACAAAGGCCAUACAUGCUGAUGGAAAUUCACUCAAGGAAAACUUCUUUUCACUUUUGAUAUUAGAUUACGUUUAUUGAA